ACACACACACACAGCUUAUUAUAUCGUUUUCGUUUCGUUAUCUCGAGAUCUCGAGAAAAUUAUCUCGUUAUCUCGGGAAAACGGAGGAAAUAAAAUGUAUGAAUGCAUGGCCGUUUAGGGCUUCCGUACAUCACGAUGGUUGCAGCGUACCACCUUUAACGUAUGCACUCAGUUAGGUUGGGUUUAAAACAACUACGUUACGCAUCUCUGUUACUUACGUAAGUAAUGCAAAUGUAUGUGACGUAAAUUAAUUACGUUACCAAGUUAAAAUAACUGCCUUAUAAUAUUUACAGCCACUAGAGGUCAGCACCUAACAGGAAAUGUAAAUACGGGUCACAAUAACCUGCUUUUACAUCGUCCUCAUUUUUACAACCACCACUGCUAGUGAAAAUCCAUCUACGUGACGUACCGUCACCAUGAAUACAAUGUAAGUAAACACCUCAACAACAUAUAUAACAGACGUCGAGUCGUCUUUUAAACUGAUUCUACUGACGGGCAGCUCCAGUAAAGAUUAUAUAACUCUCCUUCAUUCUAUUCACAUUAAUGCACUUGAUAAAAACAGUCAGUAAGAUUUACAGCGUACCCUCAUAAUUUAAGUCCAAAAGUCUUAAAACUGUCUUCUUACAAAGAUGAAUAUGAUGAGUAGGGCUGGUUUGUUUUGCUUUUCAUCCCCGCGUUCAGGGUCACAGUCAGUUUGAUGCUCGCGGCGUCGGUCGGUUGCUACGGGUUACGCGGCAGAGAUUGACUGACGGUGGCAUUCGCUCACUUUGUGGCAGCUCAUAAAGCGACGAGGGAAGACAGGAGCCAGAACAGCGCUGCCAGCCGCAGACAGGCGUGUGUGCUGCAGGCUGACACAGAGAGACUCCACACAACAACAAACCGGGCCAGCUCCGUUUGGUGGCCAACAUGCAGCUGUGAUCAAAAGAGCGCUUCUCCAGGGGGGGAGCAGGGCGGCCCGGCGGUGAGGCCCGACUCUGUUCAUAACUGGAAGGUCACGGGUGCGAUUCCCUCAGCAGGCGGCGCGUCAAUUAUCGGUCAGGUGCGGCCGGCGAAUCCCUACCUGCUCGCUAAACUGCCUCACGCUCCGAAUACGUGCCGAAAAUGUUAAUGUGGCGCGCACAAGCCCCCGAGGAUGUGACACGUUUCCUGCUGCAAACAUAGCUUGUUGUGACAGUCCAACCAUCUGGACCACGGGCGCCGUGCUCAAGGGCAGAUAAAAGACAUUUGCCCGCUGUUUUUUUCUUUCUGCAAUCCUGUGCUGAUUUCCGACCUGAUAUUCUGACCUAGAUGAAAUAAUCAGCUGUGGAGAUAUUUUUGCAAAUUGCAUCGCCG
rnacentral:lncRNA from 1 species